rnacentral:rRNA from 1 species
GACGAACGCUGGCGGCGUGCUUAACACAUGCAAGUCGAACGGAAAGGCCCUGCUUUUGUGGGGUGCUCGAGUGGCGAACGGGUGAGUAACACGUGAGUAACCUGCCCUUGACUUUGGGAUAACUUCAGGAAACUGGGGCUAAUACCGGAUAGGAGCUCCUGCUGCAUGGUGGGGGUUGGAAAGUUUCGGCGGUUGGGGAUGGACUCGCGGCUUAUCAGCUUGUUGGUGGGGUAGUGGCUUACCAAGGCUUUGACGGGUAGCCGGCCUGAGAGGGUGACCGGCCACAUGGGGACUGGGAUACGCCCCAGAUCCCCAGGGGGGGCAGGGGGGGGGAAUAUUGAACAAGGGGCGGAGGCCUGAUGCAGCAAGGCCGGGGGGGGGAGGACGGCCUUGGGGUUGAAAACCGCUUUCGCCUGGGACGAAGCGGGGGUGAGGGUAAGGGGUAAAGAAGCACCGGCUAACUACGU